rnacentral:ncRNA from 1 species
CUUAUAUGACUGACGGAAGUGGAAUUGACCACAGGGAGUAUAAGGGAUAGGGGCCGACCGUCUGGGCAGU